CAGCCAUCCUGGUUUGCCUGGGGCUGAGGGUUUACCAGGCGGUGAAACUUCCAGUGUUGAAAACUGGAACAGUU
rnacentral:miRNA from 1 species